rnacentral:rRNA from 1 species
AACGAACGCUGGCGGCAGGCCUAACACAUGCAAGUCGAGCGAGGUAGCAAUACCUAGCGGCGGACGGGUGAGUAACGCGUGGGAACGUACCCCUUUCUACGGAAUAGCCUCGGGAAACUGGGAGUAAUACCGUAUAAGCCCUACGGGGGAAAGAUUUAUCGGGAAGGGAUCGGCCCGCGUUGGAUUAGGUAGUUGGUGGGGUAAUGGCCUACCAAGCCGACGAUCCAUAGCUGGUUUGAGAGGAUGAUCAGCCACACUGGGACUGAGACACGGCCCAGACUCCUACGGGAGGCAGCAGUGGGGAAUCUUAGACAAUGGGCGCAAGCCUGAUCUAGCCAUGCCGCGUGAUCGAUGAAGGCCUUAGGGUUGUAAAGAUCUUUCAUGGGGGAAGAUAAUGACUGUACCCCAAGAAGAAGCCCCGGCUAACUCCGUGCCAGCCGCCGCCGUAA